rnacentral:rRNA from 1 species
AUUGAACGCUGGCGGCAUGCCUUACACAUGCAAGUCGGACGGCAGCACGGGAGCAAUCCUGGUGGCGAGUGGCGAACGGGUGAGUAAUGCAGCGGAACGUGCCCAGUAGUGGGGGACAACCAGUCGAAAGAUUGGCUAAUACCGCAUACGACCUAUGGGUGACAGGGGGGGACCGUAAGGCCUCGCGCUAUUGGAGCGGCCGAUGUCUGAUUAGCUAGUUGGUGAGGUAAAAGCUCACCAAGGCGACGAUCAGUAGCUGGUGUGAGAGGACGACCAGCCACACUGGGACUGAGACACGGCCCAGACUCCUACGGGAGGCAGCAGUGGGGAAUUUUGGACAAUGGGCGCAAGCCUGAUCCAGCCAUGCCGCGUGCGGGAAGAAGGCCUUCGGGUUGUAAACCGCUUUUGGCAGGAACGAAACGGCGACUUCUAAUACGGGUCGUUAAUGACGGUACCUGCAGAAUAAGCACCGGCUAACUACGUGCCAGCAGCCGCCGUAAUAC